CUGAGCCGGAUGUGGGGAAACUCACAAGUCCGGUUCUUAGGGGGCGGGGAUGGCAGUAAUGCCUCCCUGCUACCCGGC
rfam:Thermosynechococcus elongatus BP-1 DNA, complete genome.